GACGAACGCUGGCGGCGUGCCUAACACAUGCAAGUCGAACGGGCGAGGCUUCUUCGGAGGCCGAGCUAGUGGCGAACGGGUGAGUAACGCGUGAGGAACCUGCCUUUCAGUGGGGGACAACAGCUGGAAACGGCUGCUAAUACCGCAUAACAUCCUUCCGGGACAUCCCGGGGGGAUCAAAGAUUUAUUGCUGAAAGAUGGCCUCGCGUCUGAUUAGAUAGUUGGUGAGGUAACGGCCCACCAAGUCGACGAUCAGUAGCCGGACUGAGAGGUUGAACGGCCACAUUGGGACUGAGAUACGGCCCAGACUCCUACGGGAGGCAGCAGUGGGGAAUAUUGGGCAAUGGGGGAAACCCUGACCCAGCAACGCCGCGUGAAGGAAGAAGGCUUUCGGGUUGUAAACUUCUUUUACCAGGGACGAAGGACGUGACGGUACCUGGAGAAAAGCCACGGCUAACUACGUGCCAGCAGCCGCGGUAAACACGAGAUA
rnacentral:rRNA from 1 species